rnacentral:tRNA from 1 species
AAUUAAUGAGCUUGAACAUAAGCAUUUGUUUUGAAAACAUUUGAAAGAAAUAAAUUUCUAUUAAUUU